rnacentral:rRNA from 1 species
GGUUAUUCUGCCCAUUGAAUUUAAAAGGCUGCAGUAAUUUGACUGUACAAAGGUAGCAAAAUCAAUAGUUUUUUAAUUGAAAACUUGAAUGAAUGAAUUGAUAAAAUAUUAAUUGUCUCAAAUAUUGAAUUUAUAAAAGAAGUUAAAAUUCUUUUAUAUAUUUAAAAGACGAUAAGACCCUAAGAAUUUUAUAAUUAAAUAAAUUUUAUUAUUUAUAAUUAUUAUUAAUUAUUUUAUUGGGAGGGUAAUUAAAAUAAACUUUAAUUAUAAAAAACUUGGAUAAAUGAAUUAAAAGAUUAUUAUUAUAGUUAUAAGAAAAAAUUACCUUAGGGAUAACAGCGUAAUAAUUUUGGAAAGUUCAUAUUGAUAAAAUUGUUUGCGACCUCGAUGUUGAAUUAAAAUUAAUAUUAAAUGGAGAGAUUUAAUUUUUUAGUCUGUUCGACUAUUAAAAUUUUAC